rnacentral:ncRNA from 1 species
AGACUCUGGAGAAUCUCGUGUGGAGCGAGUGCCGAAGGUGCAAGGCGAAAGCUGAAUCUCUCAGGCAAAAGGACAGAGCAGG